CUAUACAAUAAGGAUGGAUUUACCAGAACAUACCCAGUAUUAAUCAUAACAAAAAGCAGUAUAGAUAAUGUAUAUGUGCUGUGUUCACUUUAAUAACCACUUCAUAAGUAACUACUCUAACUAUGGGGACUAUUUCUGGAUCAGUAAGAUCCAAGUGUAGUUAGUUACACACUACACUCAGCUUAACACAACUCUUGGUAUCUGACAUUGAUUAAAAGUAAAAAAGGGUAAGUGAACAAAUACAUACUCAUACAUGAUCACGUUUUUAAGAAGCUACCCUUUGCAGAAGUAAACAAGAGAGGAGACUUUCAGGAAGCUACUGAUGGGGACUGGGAAGGUUUAAAGCUAUGGCUUUGGUAAGCACCCCAGUGAGCUGUAGGAAGGCAUUGUAAGAGUAGAUUCUGCAGCAUCAAAGGAUAAUUCUCUAAAAGAGGUGGGUGUUUUCUCAAUUAAUCUAAAUUCUGAGGCUUUCAGCAGUUGAGGGCUAGAAACAAGAUCCAAAGAAAAGAGCCAUCUUCACAACACUUAAGAAAGGUGACUGACUGAGCCAUUAGGCUCAUGAUGCUAAAUGGUCCAAAAGCCUUUGGUGGUGUGAUAUGGACAAGAAAAAAAAUUAAUACACAAACCACGUAACACCAUUAAAACCAAAAAACAUUUUUUCAUUAAAAAAAGUAUUUAGAACACACAAAACAAGGCAACACUUAUUCUUUUUUCUCAUCUUCUGGUAUGGGAUCUGUUGGUGGCUCCUCCACUGUUGCACUGUUGCUCUCCGAGCCAGUGUUACUAUCACUGGUUCCUUCCUCUGCCAUACUGUCGACCCCCUCCUGCCCACUCUCCUUGUCCUCAGGAGUAGACGUGCCUUCUUCACCAUUCUGUUGGCUCUCUGUUGUUUCUUCAAGUGGGUUACCUGUCUCCAUCGGAAUGUUCUCGUCGUCUUUCUUCUCCUCGCCUUUGUUAGCUGCUUGUUCUUCCUCAGGAACGAUGCUGCU
rnacentral:lncRNA from 1 species